rnacentral:tRNA from 1 species
GGGCUGGUAGAUUAGCCGUAUAUCGCCGCCUUGGCAUGGCGGAGGUCAGGGGUUCAAUUCCCCUCCAGUCCACCA